ACUUAAAUUGAAGAGUUUGAUCAUGGCUCAGAUUGAACGCUGGCGGCAGGCCUAACACAUGCAAGUCGAGCGGUAGCACAGAGAGCUUGCUCUCGGGUGACGAGCGGCGGACGGGUGAGUAAUGUCUGGGAAACUGCCUGAUGGAGGGGGAUAACUACUGGAAACGGUAGCUAAUACCGCAUAACGUCGCAAGACCAAAGUGGGGGACCUUCGGGCCUCAUGCCAUCAGAUGUGCCCAGAUGGGAUUAGCUGGUAGGUGGGGUAACGGCUCACCUAGGCGACGAUCCCUAGCUGGUCUGAGAGGAUGACCAGCCACACUGGAACUGAGACACGGUCCAGACUCCUACGGGAGGCAGCAGUGGGGAAUAUUGCACAAUGGGCGCAAGCCUGAUGCAGCCAUGCCGCGUGUGUGAAGAAGGCCUUCGGGUUGUAAAGCACUUUCAGCGGGGAGGAAGGCGGUGAGGUUAAUAACCUCAUCGAUUGACGUUACCCGCAGAAGAAGCACCGGCUAACUCCGUGCCAGCAGCCGCGGUAAUACGGAGGGUGCAAGCGUUAAUCGGAAUUACUGGGCGUAAAGCGCACGCAGGCGGUCUGUCAAGUCGGAUGUGAAAUCCCCGGGCUCAACCUGGGAACUGCAUUCGAAACUGGCAGGCUAGAGUCUUGUAGAGGGGGGUAGAAUUCCAGGUGUAGCGGUGAAAUGCGUAGAGAUCUGGAGGAAUACCGGUGGCGAAGGCGGCCCCCUGGACAAAGACUGACGCUCAGGUGCGAAAGCGUGGGGAGCAAACAGGAUUAGAUACCCUGGUAGUCCACGCUGUAAACGAUGUCGAUUUGGAGGUUGUGCCCUUGAGGCGUGGCUUCCGGAGCUAACGCGUUAAAUCGACCGCCUGGGGAGUACGGCCGCAAGGUUAAAACUCAAAUGAAUUGACGGGGGCCCGCACAAGCGGUGGAGCAUGUGGUUUAAUUCGAUGCAACGCGAAGAACCUUACCUGGUCUUGACAUCCACAGAACUUUCCAGAGAUGGAUUGGUGCCUUCGGGAACUGUGAGACAGGUGCUGCAUGGCUGUCGUCAGCUCGUGUUGUGAAAUGUUGGGUUAAGUCCCGCAACGAGCGCAACCCUUAUCCUUUGUUGCCAGCGGUCCGGCCGGGAACUCAAAGGAGACUGCCAGUGAUAAACUGGAGGAAGGUGGGGAUGACGUCAAGUCAUCAUGGCCCUUACGACCAGGGCUACACACGUGCUACAAUGGCAUAUACAAAGAGAAGCGACCUCGCGAGAGCAAGCGGACCUCAUAAAGUAUGUCGUAGUCCGGAUUGGAGUCUGCAACUCGACUCCAUGAAGUCGGAAUCGCUAGUAAUCGUAGAUCAGAAUGCUACGGUGAAUACGUUCCCGGGCCUUGUACACACCGCCCGUCACACCAUGGGAGUGGGUUGCAAAAGAAGUAGGUAGCUUAACCUUCGGGAGGGCGCUUACCACUUUGUGAUUCAUGACUGGGGUGAAGUCGUAACAAGGUAACCGUAGGGGAACCUGCGGUUGGAUCACCUCCUUACCUUAAAGAA
rnacentral:rRNA from 1 species